rnacentral:lncRNA from 1 species
CAGAGAUCUCCCUUGCAUCCAAAAACCUGGCAUACAGUUUGGGUAUCCCUUCUCCAAGAUAUGUGGGGCCAGAAAAUUUUCAGAUUUUGGAAUAUUUGCAUAUAUAUAAUGAGAUAUCAUGGGAUCAGACCCAAGUCUAAACACAAGAAUUCAUUUAUAUUUCAUAUACACCUUGUCCACGUAGCUUGAAGGCUUUUCACUUGAGUGCUGUACAUGUGUGUCCUUCAGGUACUGAUGAAGCCUCUACAGAGCUCUCUUCUCAGCCUUGCUCUGCCAUUUCUGCUGCUACUGCAGCAGUGACACUGGAAUCCCUGAAGCAUCAAAUCUUGAAUUGGAGGAAAGUACUUCUUUCCAUAUUUUGUAAUAUGUCCUACUAAAGGAUAGCAAAGCAGAGUUGUUUGCUCCCAUCUUAGAAACUUUUAAAUAAAAUUUAGGUAUUACUUUUAAACAUAGGUCCACAGAGAAGACAAAUCUAAGUGGCAAAAAUAAUGUGUAUUCAGCGUCACUAUUCCCCAAGGAUGACAAAUGUAUGUUUUUUGCUGUAAUAUCUCCCAGUUGACUCCAUCUUCUCUUCUAUUGAAUUUUCAACCAGAGAGCUUCUUAGUUCCUUAUUCAAAUACAGUUUUGGUAGACCUAACCAGUAUUAUAUGUGCCUGAUCUAUCUAAAUCUAAUCAAGUUUGGUUUAAAUGAAAUCAAGUGUACUCACAGCCUCUCAUACCUAUUCCAUUUUUACUUUUGUACAACCACAAAAUUAGCCCAGAGUGGGGGAGUUCACUUGAUAAUUUGCUAAGUGCAAUUGCCACCACCAGUACUCUAUGAUCCAGCCCCUCCCUACCCAACAUGACAUCAUCGAUUAAAAUUCCUAAAUCAAUGCUAUUUUUUACUUAAGAAUGUAUAGUAUUUUUCUUUGACUCUUCAGAUAAAGACCCUCAAUCAAUCUACCACUCAAAUAUCUUCCUAAUAUUUACUGUAAUACGGUUUCCA